UACGUAGGUGGCAAGCGUUGUCCGGAUUUAUUGGGCGUAAAGAGCGCGUAGGCGGGUUUUUAAGUCAGAUGUGAAAUCCCGGGGCUCAACCCCGGAACAGCAUUUGAAACUGAGAAUCUUGAGGGUAGUCGGAGAAAAUGGAAUUCCACGUGUAGCGGUGAAAUGCGUAGAUAUGUGGAAGAACACCGGUGGCGAAGGCGAUUUUCUAGAUUAUUCCUGACGCUGAGGCGCGAAAGCAAGGGGAUCAAACAGG
rnacentral:rRNA from 1 species